CCGGGCGGCAGACUACACAUGCAAGUCGAGCGAGAACUUCGGUUCUAGCGGCGGACGGGUUAGUAACGCGUGGGAACGUGCCCUUCACUACGGAAUAGUCCCGGGAAACUGGGUUUAAUACCGUAUACGCCCUUCGGGGGAAAGAAUUUCGGUGAAGGAUCGGCCCGCGUUAGAUUAGAUAGUUGGUGGGGUAACGGCCUACCAAGUCUACGAUCUAUAGCUGGUUUUAGAGGAUGAUCAGCAACACUGGGACUGAGACACGGCCCAGACUCCUACGGGAGGCAGCAGUGGGGAAUCUUAGACAAUGGGCGCAAGCCUGAUCUAGCCAUGCCGCGUGAGUGAUGAAGGCCUUAGGGUCGUAAAGCUCUUUCGCCAGGGAUGAUAAUGACAGUACCUGGUAAAGAAACCCCGGCUAACUCCGUGCCAGCAGCCGCGGUAAUACGGAGGGGGUUAGCGUUGUUCGGAAUUACUGGGCGUAAAGCGCGCGUAGGCGGAUUGGAAAGUUGGGGGUGAAAUCCCAGGGCUCAACCCUGGAACUGCCUCCAAAACUAUCAGUCUAGAGUUCGAGAGAGGUGAGUGGAACUCCGAGUGUAGAGGUGAAAUUCGUAGAUAUUCGGAAGAACACCAGUGGCGAAGGCGGCUCACUGGCUCGAUACUGACGCUGAGGUGCGAAAGUGUGGGGAGCAAACAGGAUUAGAUACCCUGGUAGU
rnacentral:rRNA from 1 species